rnacentral:SRP_RNA from 1 species
CUGAAAAUAAUACUUGACAAAUCAGAAAAUAUAUGAUAUAAUAAUAGCGUUAUGAAAGUAUUUCGGAAUAUAGAUGUGUGGGCCCUGUGCAACAGAACACUGUGAACCAUGUCAGGCGGGAAACCGAGCAGCAUUAAGCGGAACGUUUCGUGUGCCGCAGCAAGCCUGCACAUCUAUGUUCCGAAUUUUUACGCUAUUUUUCAG